ACCGAAUGUAAAUUCGGACGAAUUUCGGCAAUUCAGACAUUCCGUUGCUUCCGAAUGUCUGAAGUGCCGACGUUUAGGAGAUCGGAAGUGCCGAAGUUCCAAAGUGCUUCGGAAUUCUGGAGAAGUGGCAAAACAAGGGAGGGAAAAUUACGUGAGAAAAGUGAUGUGUGGCCUACUCUCUCUCUCUGUUAGCCCAGGAGCUACUCUCUUGACCCCCAACCACUGUCCAGAGUGAACGUGUUUUUUCUGUUACCGUAAACAUACUUUGCCCUCAGCACUCCCAACUGGCACUGCAGCUCAUGGAGCAAAUGGCUUUCCUAAAC